rnacentral:lncRNA from 1 species
UUUUUUUACAGCUGCACCCAUUUCACUGAAUCUUAAAUGAUGCUUUCAAGACAGAAGGAAGAACAGUACACCUGAGAUGACCCCAAAGCCUACAUCAGGCCUGCUCAACACAGCAGAUCCCAGAUGCUUUUGAGGGCAAUGAAACAAAUCUGAGAUGUACUAGAUCCCGUGAGAAGAAAGGAGUUGAGAAGGAAGGACUAGGAAAAACAAGAACUUGGCCAGAUGUCUCUCCAGGCAGAGCAAGGUGUUGGCGGAGCAACCUUCCUAUAGAGCUGGUUAAUUAGUGACAAGGAAGAGUGUCACCAGGGGCAAAGCUCAUUUCAACUGCUUCCUUUCACGGAAGGCAACAAGGUUCGAGGCACUGAACUUGGACCUUUUCUCUCUGGAAUGGCCAUGACGUUGACUAUUGAAGACUGCUGUAUUCAUCUUGAGUGUUUGGAGCACAAUGAUACAACUGUUCAACCUAUUUGAUAUGGAUUUCUCCUAUUCGGAAGAAAUUUCAACAACUUCACUUCUAACUUAAACACAUUCAUCGACUAGCCUGGCCAACAUGGUGAAACCCCGUGUCUACUAAAAAUACAAAAAUUAGCUGGGCGUGGUGGCAUAUG